rnacentral:rRNA from 1 species
GACGAACGCUGGCGGCGUGCUUAACACAUGCAAGUCGAACGGAAAGGCCCUGCGUUUGUGGGGUGCUCGAGUGGCGAACGGGUGAGUAACACGUGAGUAACCUGCCCUUGACUUUGGGAUAACUUCAGGAAACUGGGGCUAAUACCGGAUAGGAGCUCCUGCUGCAUGGGGGGGGUUGGAAAGUUUCGGCGGUUGUGGAUGGACUCGCGGCUUAUCAGCUUGUUGGUGGGGUAGUUGCUUACCAAGGCUUUGACGGAUAGCCGGCCUGGGAGGGUGACCGGCGACAUUGGGACUGAGAUACGGCCCAGACUGGUACGGGAGGCAGCAGUGGGGAGUAUUGCACAAUGGGCGGAAGCGUGAUGCAGCAACGCCGGGUGCGGGAUGACGGCCUUCGGGUUGUAAACCGCUUUCGCCUGUGACGAAGCGUGAGUGACGGUAAUGGGUAAAGAAGCACCGGCUAACUACGUG